GGGAAUUUAAACAUUAAAUAAGUACUUUUUAUUUAGAACAUCAACUGCAUUUACAUCUUUCAAUAUGUAUAAGCUUAUGAUUCUGGUGAUGGCUGCAAGCUGCAUUGUGGCUGAUAAUCGUAGGCGUUUAGCACCAUCAACAACGACAACGACAACAGAAAAAUUUAUUGAAGUUUCCAGUGAGAAAUGUGAUAUAUUGAAGAAUGAUCACUGUGGCAGCGUACCCUCUGCUAAAGGCCCCGGUUUUCCAGCCGUCGUCACUGGAGGCCUAGGUGUCGCCCAUCAUAAGUCUAGUGGCUAAAUGAAGACUUGUUUCCAUUUUCAAAUAAAAACCGAUACAAUAAAAUUUCCGAUUAAAAUGUUAAUAUUAUUACAACAAUUUAGUUUAAUUGUACGAAGUUUUGUCCGAUACGGAUUAAAAGUUGGUGAUAAUAUUGGU